rnacentral:rRNA from 1 species
UACGUAGGUGGCGAGCGUUAUCCGGAAUGAUUGGGCGUAAAGGGUGCGUAGGCGGCCUGCUAAGUCUGGAGUGAAAGGUACCGGCUCAACCGGUACAGGCUCUGGAAACUGGCGGGCUAGAGAGCAGGAGAGGGCGAUGGAACUCCAUGUGUAGCGGUAAAAUGCGUAGAUAUAUGGAAGAACACCAGUGGCGAAGGCGGCCGCCUGGCCUGUUGACUGACGCUGAGGCACGAAAGCGUGGGGAGCAAAUAGG